GACGAACGCUGGCGGCGUGCUUAACACAUGCAAGUCGAACGGAAAGGCCCUUCUUUUGUGGGGUGCUCGAGUGGCGAACGGGUGAGUAACACGUGAGUACCCUUCCCUUGACUUUGGGAUAACUUCAGGAAACUGGGGCUAAUACCGGAUAGGAGCUCCUGCUGCAUGGUGGGGGUUGGAAAGUUUCGGCGGUUGGGGAUGGACUCGCGGCUUAUCAGCUUGUUGGUGGGGUAGUGGCUUACCAAGGCUUUGACGGGUAGCCGGCCUGAGAGGGUGACCGGCCACAUUGGGACUGAGAUACGGCCCAGACUCCUACGGGAGGCAGCAGUGGGGAAUAUUGCACAAUGGGCGGAAGCCUGAUGCAGCAACGCCGCGUGCGGGAUGACGGCCUUCGGGUUGUAAACCGCUUUCGCCUGUGACGAAGCGUGAGUGACGGUAAUGGGUAAAGAAGCACCGGCUAACUACGUG
rnacentral:rRNA from 1 species